CAGAGCUGCGCCACGGCGUCGGAGGCGCCUAUCGAAGAGCACGACACGCAAGCGCAGUGUGCUAUCUUCAACGAGUCGCCGGCUGAAAACCACGACGCGAAAGAAGAAGAGACAGCAUACUGCGGCAGCCAAAGCGAGACGCCAUGAAGCUGCCAUCAGUCGCACGAGUGAAGCCUUAAGACGGCUGGAAAAACGGUGGAGCAUUUGUAUCCAUAUGUCACGCUAAAUACUUGUCCUCAAGUCAACGGGUAUGUACACAAAACUAGAAAUUUAUUGAGGGUCUCUUU